UCGAGUUAGGGUCUCUCAGGCCCGACCUCCAACCCUUUGUUUACCCAACCACGUUGCUUCGGCAAGCCCGCUCCUCCGGGGGCCGCCGGGGGGUGUAAAAACCCUCUGGCCAGUGCUUGUCGAUAGCCCAACUUAACUCUUGUUAAAAGAUGUCGUCUGAAGUAUAAAAUAAAUUAAAGCA
rnacentral:misc_RNA from 1 species